CGGAAGGAUCAUUACCGAGUUUUCGAGCUCCGGCUCGACUCUCCCACCCUUUGUGAACGUACCUCUGUUGCUUUGGCGGCUCCGGCCGCCAAAGGACCUUCAAACUCCAGUCAGUAAACGCAGACGUCUGAUAAACAAGUUAAUAAACUAAAACUUUCAACAACGGAUCUCUUGGUUCUGGCAUCGAUGAAGAACGCAGCGAAAUGCGAUAAGUAAUGUGAAUUGCAGAAUUCAGUGAAUCAUCGAAUCUUUGAACGCACAUUGCGCCCCUUGGUAUUCCGGGGGGCAUGCCUGUUCGAGCGUCAUUACAACCCUCAAGCUCUGCUUGGAAUUGGGCACCGUCCUCACUGCGGACGCGCCUCAAAGACCUCGGCGGUGGCUGUUCAGCCCUCAAGCGUAGUAGAAUACACCUCGCUUUGGAGCGGUUGGCGUCGCCCGCCGGACGAACCUUCUGAACUUUUCUCAAGGUUGACCUCGGAUCAGGUAGGGAUACCCGCUGAACUUAAGCAUAU
rnacentral:rRNA from 1 species